AAUGUUGAGCAACUGCCCUUGAGAAGCUCACACACUAAGAAAUGACACCAUAAAAAUAUAUGGUUUUAAAAUAAGAGAUCUUCACAGCCAACACUUGUCUAGGACGCCUUGGACCACCUUUCACUGUAUCCACACUGUACGUUUUCUAAAGCGACAAUGAAGGUUACACUAUUUUAAAAACGGUGUUUGCAUGUUCAGCAGCACUUGAGUCAUGUC